GAUGAACGCUAGCGGCAGGCUUAAUACAUGCAAGUCGUGGGGCAGCAGGUCUGUAGCAAUACAGAUGCUGGCGACCGGCAAACGGGUGCGGAACACGUACGCAACCUUCCUUCAAGUGGG
rnacentral:rRNA from 1 species